rnacentral:rRNA from 1 species
CUAAACGGCGAAACUGCGAAUGGCUCAUUAAAUCAGUUAUCGUAUAUUUGAUAGUACCUACUACAUGGAUAACCGUGGUAAUUCUAGAGCUAAUACAUGCUUAAAACCCCGACUUCGGAAGGGGUGUAUUUAUUAGAUUAAAAACCAAUGCCCUUCGGGGCUCACUGGUGAUUCAUAAUAACUUCUCGAAUCGCAUGGCCUUGCGCCGGCGAUGGUUCAUUCAAAUUUCUGCCCUAUCAACUUUCGACGGCUGGGUCUUGGCCAGCCGUGGUUACAACGGGUAACGGAGGGUUAGGGCUUGACCCCGGAGAAGGAGCCUGAGAAACGGCUACUACAUCCAAGGAAGGCAGCAGGCGCGCAAAUUACCCAAUCCCGACUCGGGGAGGUAGUGACAAUAAAUACUGAUACAGGGCUCUUUUGGGUCUUGUAAUUGGAAUGAGUACAAUUUAAAUCCCUUAACGAGGAACAAUUGGAGGGCAAGUCUGGUGCCAGCAGCCGCGGUAAUUCCAGCUCCAAUAGCGUAUAUUAAAGUUGUUGCAGUUAAAAAGCUCGUAGUUGAACCUUGGGCCUGGCUGGCCGGUCUGCCUCACCGCAUGCACUGGUCCGGCCGGGCCUUUCCCUCUGGGGAUCCGCAUGCCCUUCACUGGGUGUGCCGGGGAACCAGGACUUUUACUGUGAAAAAAUUAGAGUGUUCAAAGCAGGCAUAUGCUCGAAUACAUUAGCAUGGAAUAAUAGAAUAGGACGUCGCGGUUCUAUUUUGUUGGUUUCUAGGACCGCCGUAAUGAUUAAUAGGGACAGUCGGGGGCAUCAGUAUUCAAUCGUCAGAGGUGAAAUUCUUGGAUCGAUUGAAGACUAACUACUGCGAAAGCAUUUGCCAAGGAUGUUUUCAUUAAUCAGGAACGAAAGUUAGGGGAUCGAAAACGAUCAGAUACCGUUGUAGUCUUAACCAUAAACUAUGCCGACUAGGGAUCGGGCGGUGUUAUUUCUUGACCCGCUCGGCACCUUACACGAAAGUAAAGUU